rnacentral:rRNA from 1 species
CCUACGGGAGGCAGCAGUGGGGAAUAUUGGACAAUGGGCGAAAGCCUGAUCCAGCGACGCCGCGUGUCGGAAGGAGUCCUUCGGGAUGUAAACGACUUUUGGUGGAGACGAAUAAGCAGCUCAGGGAAUGGGGCUGUGAUGACGGUAUCCAUGGAAUAAGCCCCGGCUAACUACGUGCCAGCAGCCGCAGUAAUAA